AGUGAACGCUGGCGGCGUGCCUAACACAUGCAAGUCGAACGAUGAUGGAUGAGCUUGCUCAUUCCGAUUAGUGGCGCACGGGUGAGUAUACCAUAGAUAAUGUACCUCUUAGUUUGGGAUAGCCACUGGAAACGGUGAUUAAUACCAGAUACUCCUUCUUGUCUCAAGGCAAGUCGGGAAAGUUUUUUCGCUAAGAGAUCAGUCUAUGUCCUAUCAGCUAGUUGGUGAGGUAAUGGCUCACCAAGGCUAUGACGGGUAUCUGGUUUGAGAGGAUGAUCAGACACACUGGAACUGAGACACGGUCCAGACUCCUACGGGAGGCAGCAGUGAGGAAUAUUGCACAAUGGAGGAAACUCUGAUGCAGCAACGCCGCGUGGAGGAUGACGCAUUUCGGUGUGUAAACUCCUUUUAAGAGGGAAGAUUAUGACGGUACCUCUUGAAUGAGCACCGGCUAACUCCGUGCCAGCAGCCGCAGUAAUAC
rnacentral:rRNA from 1 species